CGCUGGCGGCAGGCCUAACACAUGCAAGUCGAGCGGAAACGAAGGGAGCUUGCUCCCAGGCGUCGAGCGGCGGACGGGUGAGUAAUGCAUAGGAAUCUGCCCGAUAGUGGGGGAUAACCUGGGGAAACCCAGGCUAAUACCGCAUACGUCCUACGGGAGAAAGCAGGGGCUCUUCGGACCUUGCGCUAUCGGAUGAGCCUAUGUCGGAUUAGCUGGUUGGUGAGGUAAUGGCUCACCAAGGCGACGAUCCGUAGCUGGUCUGAGAGGAUGAUCAGCCACAUCGGGACUGAGACACGGCCCGAACUCCUACGGGAGGCAGCAGUGGGGAAUAUUGGACAAUGGGCGAAAGCCUGAUCCAGCCAUGCCGCGUGUGUGAAGAAGGCCCUCGGGUUGUAAAGCACUUUCAGUGGGGAAGAAAGCCUUGGGGCUAAUACCCUCGAGGAAGGACAUCACCCACAGAAGAAGCACCGGCUAACUCCGUGCCAGCAGCCGCGGUAAUACGGAGGGUGCGAGCGUUAAUCGGAAUUACUGGGCGUAAAGCGCGCGUAGGUGGCUUGAUAAGCCGGUUGUGAAAGCCCCGGGCUCAACCUGGGAACGGCAUCCGGAACUGUCAGGCUAGAGUGCAGGAGAGGAAGGUAGAAUUCCCGGUGUAGCGGUGAAAUGCGUAGAGAUCGGGAGGAAUACCAGUGGCGAAGGCGGCCUUCUGGACUGACACUGACACUGAGGUGCGAAAGCGUGGGUAGCAAACAGGAUUAGAUACCCUGGUAGUCCACGCCGUAAACGAUGUCGACUAGCCGUUGGGAGCCUCGAGUUCUUAGUGGCGCAGUUAACGCGAUAAGUCGACCGCCUGGGGAGUACGG
rnacentral:rRNA from 1 species